rnacentral:rRNA from 1 species
AGAUAGAGCUUUCCCCUUCGGGGGACAAAGUGACAGGUGGUGCAUGGUUGUCGUCAGCUCGUGUCGUGAGAUGUUGGGUUAAGUCCCGCAACGAGCGCAACCCUUAAGCUUAGUUGCCAUCAUUAAGUUGGCACUCUAGGUUGACUGCCGGUGACAAACCGGAGGAGGGUGGGGAUGACGUCAAAUCAUCAUGCCCCUUAUGAUUUGGGCUACACACGUGCUACAAUGGACAAUACAAAGGGCAGCUAAACCGCGAGGUCAUGCAAAUCCCAUAAAGUUGUUCUCAGUUCGGAUUGUAGUCUGCAACUCGACUACAUGAAGCUGGAAUCGCUAGUAAUCGUAGAUCAGCAUGCUACGGUGAAUACGUUCCCGGGUCUUGUACACACCGCCCGUCACACCACGAGAGUUUGUAACACCCGAAGCCGGUGGAGUAACCAUUUAUGGAGCUAGCCGUCGAAGGUGGGACAAAUGAUUGGGGUGAAGUCGUAACAAGGUAGCCGUAUCGGAAGG